GACACUCAGUGUAAUGGCUGUGGAAAGUUAAGCACCGUUGCAACAACAGAAACUAAAAGCAGUCAGAGCAGAAGCAUUCAUUACAUGCACGGAAAAAGCAGACAGUGACUCUCCACUUUAGUCCUUUGUCUUGGAAGUUCAGCAGUGAAUUGGAGAAGCUUUCCACCUGCCCCUGCCAUUGUGUGAAGUGUAAUGGAAUUGGGUCAGUUUGUUCACUGAAAUGUUCUUCUAAAAGAUACUGGCAUAGAUUCACCUUGGGACUGACUGUGUGUUUUCUUUCAAUCAGUUACUGCAAAUUGAGCAGCUGCAAAAGCCUCUCUAUGGAGAGCCCAGGGGAUGCACUUUUCCUGGUCUUGGCUAGCUGAAACUUCAUGAGCAGAAGGCAGCCAGACUUUCAGCAGGCAUAAAAUGCAGGUAGAGCUGCUGAAAGGGCAGCCUGUUUCCAGUACGUAGAUAACCCACUUGUUUAUUUCCUAUCGGUGUAUCCAGAUUUGCUUCCAUGGAAGUCUAGGUCAGCUGGGGAGAUGGUUGGAGCCCAGUCAUUUUCUACAAGCAGGACUCUGGGGGUAUGUGGACUUUACCAGUCAAGACACAGGCACUCUGACCGAGUAUCAGCCUGUGUGUGGAUGGACCAGGAGAAAAGACUACUUUAAUAAACAAGUGAAAAAGGUUACUUCUUACUGCCUGCUCAUCUGGCUCUUGACACUGAACUGCAAGGCUCUACUAUUGUGAAGAGAUGUAAAAAAGUUUACUGGAAGAUUUCAGCUGCAAUCUGAUGGUGGAAACAAAUCUCAAGACAAGACGAAAGACACUAAAUGUUUGAGUUAUGCAUUUUGCCAAAGAGAAGAGGCUAUUUUGAUGGGAUGUUUAAUAGAAAUUUCUUCCUGUGAUCAUUCAACUCGAUGCUCACUCCAAACAGCCAGAGGCUUUUUAUAUUUGACCUAAAUGUCUGGAUUUUUUUCUCUUUUCUUUAGCGUAUCACAGAACAGAAAUCUCUAAGCUGAUUAUUAUUGCUUAAUUCUCUUUUGAAUGCAAACAUCUUUGCAUAUUUCAGACAGGGCUAUAUAGAGCUGAAAUCAGAAAAGCUAAAAGAGCUUCAGAGCUCAAUCUAAAUCCCAACUGUCUGGCUCUCUGGCCAAUGCCUUGUACUAUACAAAGUGUGUAACCAUCCUACACCUUUGAUGUAAAACAACCCUCUUUUAAUGUGCUGUAAUCUCUUAUUCCCUUUGUCUCUCAAAUAAUAAUCCUCUUGCUCAUGGUAAUCCUUAAAAUCACAUAUGCUCUUUAAAGCUUUUCUUUUGGAAAGUAUUCACACCCAUUUUUCUGGGCACUGGCAACUAAAUAUUACAGACAACCUGAUUCUUCUGACUUUGACCAAGACAAUUGGAAUUUUUUGUAUUCCACAUUUAUUGCUUGGCUGGAACUGGGUCAACAAAAUGAGCAAACAGUUUCUCGUUGUCCAACAGAACCACAGUGUGCGGACUGUUUGUUUGGCCAAGGCAGAGGCACAAGAUGUUUGGAAGAGUUAACAGGAAACAAGUAAAAUGACAUUUUUAUUCAGGUUAUAAAACAGAAAAUGAAGAUUAGUUGUCUAGAAUGAUUGAAGAACAUGUUGUCCUGGACUGUUAAAACAAGAUAGUAAAAGAAAAAUUCUCACCUCCUCCACAGUAAUAAUCAAGCCUGGCUCCUGGACACUUACAAACAUGCUACUGGCUACUCAAAGUUUCAUUACUGUAAGAUUAAAUAUUAAAUAUUUUUAGGUAUUGCCACCCUAAAUCAGAGGUAGAGGUGGAGACUAGAAUUACUUAAUCAGAUCAGCAUGUUGAUUUAAAUGAUCUAAUAAUGACAAAAUGUGAUGAUUAGAAUGGAAGCCUCGUCAGAUGCAAUAUCCCAAAUGACAUAAACUGCUUUAAUUGCAGGACAUGAUGAAUAUGAGCCUAAGAGUUCAAAAUGAGAGAUCUUUUAAAAGAAAGAUCUUUUAAAAGGUCUUAGAAGAUCUUUUUAUUUGUUGAUAAAUGUGCACAUUGCCAUAAGGAAUUUGCAGGAAGCUAGGAGGAGUGCUGAGGCAUAGCUUCCAAAGAUACAACAGCACAACCUGCUGAUCAGACCACCUCAUCUCGUGUGUCCAAGCCCAGCCACUUUGCCUCACUCACUCCCUAAAAGACCAAGCACAGAAUUUUUUCCAGGUUUGGUUUUUACAGAGGGCAGGGCCUGCUGUUCUGUCAGCAGGAUAGAUCCUGGUUCUGCUCCUGAUAUCUAGGAGCGUUUUACUUUUUUGCCCUUGUUGGAAGGUCCUUCUCCCAUCCUUACCCCUCUGCACUGAGCUGUCUUACACAGACAUGUUAUCCCCCCUCUCCUGAGCCAUGAGAGCAGGCAGAGGGAGGGAUCAGUCCUGGGCUCUGGGUCAGCUGCUGACUCACAGCAGCUGCCCUGGGGAUGAUGGAUACACAGACCCCAGCUGAACAGCACAGCUCUCUGGAGUUAUGAGUUAGUGUUUCACCGAGCUUGUUACCUGAUCUUGUCACUACAAGAGGCUUAAAGUUGCUCCCCAAGUUCUGUGAAACUCUCAUUCUUGGACAAAAUCAAGGUAAUUUUGCACUUCCUUCCUAUAGAUUAAUACCUACACCUCACGAGUCACAAACCAGAACACAAACUUCCCAAAUUCGAGAGUCUGAGAAGAGGGAUCUUGAUGGUUUCUCAACCUAAACAGCUGUCAACUUUCGAUGAUCAGGGAUGCCUCACAGCCCUUCAGGUUGCUCUUUGCAGUGAACUGUGGUAGCUCAAGGAACGCCACCCAGGCUUAACUAGAACAAUAAAUAAUACCAAUAAACACUCCAAGCUGAAGUGGGCUGCAUGUGGGAAUCAGGCAGUACUAUUUCUAAAAGAAAGGCAGGAAAUUAGUCUCUCUUAUGCAAUUUCAAAUGUUUAUAGUAAAUCAGCAAAAUUAAUGGUUGUAGCAGAUAGCAACUCUGCUCUGACUGAGAAAUUCACUGUACUCCAAGCAAACUAGCCAAAUAUUAAUUUCCUUACAGCUGUUUUCACCAUUUAUUUCCUUGAUUUCCCAAAAUGGUGUCAGCUGAAUUUUCUCAUGAGUGCAAACAUUUGUGUUGCAAAAAAUAAGAAACUCGAGAAUUUAAUCCAUUUUUAGGAAAUAAAGUUAACUUAUCAACUAUAAGUGCUAAUCUUCCGAUCUCACAUGAAAUCCAGAAACUUCAUAUAGAUAUAAAACACUUAGGUAACUUGACUCUUUGCACAAAGAUUUAGAUUCUAAACAUUGAUGGCAAACACUUGUCAAAAGGAACCAAGUUUAAUUUGGUAAGCAGAAAAAGGCGAGGUAUAACACCAAAGUUACAAAAAAGAUCCCCUACGAAGAUGCUGAACAAAAUUUUUCAAGUAGAUGUGCCAAUGCAUAUAAAAAAUGGAACCUCAUCUCUUCCAUUUCUUUCUCUAAGGAGGAUCAAAAGUCCAGCUAUCACAGGGAGCAUCCUUGCUUUCUUUAGUCCUCACCGAGGUGAUGACAAACAACUCUAAUCUGCCAAAGCUUAAUUAAGUAAUCACUUUCCCAGUCUUUGUUAGCAGUGUAUUGAUUAGACAAGCAUAAAUAUUAAAUUUUGAAAUAUGUUGCUUUGUUCAGUUUCUGAACUUUUAAAACCCAUGAGUUCACUCCUAAAUCACUUUUAAUGUUGAUUGAAAAACAAUUUAUUGAGUUAAGUAUAUAUUUAAAAAAGACUUAAAAAUCUUAAUUGAAAUGAGUUUAAAUGAACAGAAUUAAAAUAGAGGAAAAUUUAAAACCAUGGCAUAUAAGCUAAUACUAUGAGAAGAAGAAAACUUUAGUAUUCAGGUGGGAAGCUUAAUGUUAUAAGCACUCACAAGACUAGAAUCAGAAGGUCUAGAGUAAAAUUGAAGCUCCAAUUCCCUUUUUAUUUUAUUUUUUUUUUCAUCAGUGAUACAGGGCCAAUAAUCCUUACUUUUCUCAUUUGUGGAUUGUUUCAAGGAUGAAAAAUACAAUGUCAAUGUUGAGUAUUAUCAUAAUUAGUUUUAUAAGUGGGAAUGGAAUGAUGAAGAUAUAUCACAAAAGUAAAGAAAUUGGGUAUUUGAAACCAUAAAUGCACAACACUGCACACACAUCAGGAAAUAGUCUGGUGAGGAAGAGAAAUGAAUCUUUAGUUUCUUCAGUGGUAAUGAAAUAAAAUUUCAGAAAUCAACAUA